ACACACCGGGAAAUACUAACGCAUAGGCUUCCAUUCCAGCAGUAUGGGCAACAAGAGAAAUAUCCUCAAUCUAAUAGAAGCACACAUCAAUCUGGGACCACAGAGAGUAUUCAUCAGUCCCCAGUGACUAGUAAAAUAAAUCUAGUGGGUUAUGAAAAGUCUAAAUUUUGAGAAUCAAGGAGUACUUGCACCUCUGAAAUAAAGCAUGCAGACAUCUCAGUUUGCAAGUCAUGCCAUAUUGGACACCCAGGAAAUAAGAUCCGGGACACGCACCCUCUUUCCAUCUAAGACUCCCAGCGACAGACAAGGAGACAGGAGGGGGCAGGACUGCAGAGUAAGUACAGAAAGCUAACUGCAUCCACGUGUUGACAUGGGGCAGAGUGGGCCAGUGCAGAGGAUGCGGGUGGGUAACUUCCUGGAACAGCAGGAGAGAAGAGAAAAGGAACAGGGGGAAGGGCUGGAGACACAUCAUCUCCCAUGUCAUCAGUUUGGGAAGCUCUUUGGAAAAGCCCACGUUUACUUUCUGAAACCUCAUCAAACCUUUCUUCUACUACCUUUAAAAGAAUACCCCACCUACUGGCUGUGGGAGCCACAGCCAGGCAGCUUUAACUCUUGAGACACUCAAGAUUCUGCGGUCUGGGGCACAGAUCCCCCGAUUCCAAAGCCUGUCCCUCCCAGACAGGUGUGGUACCUGGGCCAGACUUCUCCCACUUCCAUGCUAGGGAGCUCCUUUUUUGCAGCAGCUCUGCUUGCAACUUCCACCCCAUGUAAGGGUGAUGAUGAGAUUGGAUUUCAACUGAGAGAGAAGCAAGUUAUAAAUACAUCCUGGUGUACUAUUAAUGUCAAUAAUAUUAGUACAAUUAUUUCCAGACUAGUCAGAUUCAAUAAAAGCAACAGUAAACAAGCCUGAGGCAGCCACCAGGUGAGCGCUGUGGGGGCUGCACAGCUGGCUGGCUGCUGAGGACGAUGCUUUGCCUUUCUGGCUGUCUCUUGAGCAGGGGAAGCCAUGGUGUUUGGCUGCAGUUCUGCCAGCGCCUGCUCACACACCCCCAGGUCCUGAUGCCUUUAAGUAACUGAGCAAAGCAGCCAUCUCCAUUCGUAGCAACAACUGUGCCACAUGUGAAAGAAGGAGAGAGUUUGAGCACUAUAGGCUACUCACAGGCGAUACGUCUGCAAACCCAGAGCCAAGACAGUAGAGUCCGGCUUUGCAGACUCGCCUUCCUGAAGUCCUUGGAAUGCUGGCAUUCCCUCUAGCACUUCUCCCUGCUUUGUAAUUAUCCAUUUACACGUCUAUCAUUCCACUCAAUUCUGAAUUCUCUGAGGACACGGACCAGGAAUCCCUACUGCCCAGGACGGUGUGCAGUGCAGAACAAGGCUCAGCAAAUGUUGAGUUGUGAAAUCUGGGAGGCUCUCUCCUGGCUGUUUGGGAAGUCAGGUCCUUUAGAGGCUAAGAAUACAGGCCUGGAGUCAGCUGGGCAUGGAAUUAAAGGCCUUUUCUCCCACUUAUUGGCUGUCCAAUUUUGGGUAAGUUACUUCGUAUGGUUUGGCUGUGUGUCCACCCAAAUCUCUUCUUGAAUUGUAGUUCCCAUAAUCCCCACGUGUCAUGGGAGGGAUCCGGUGGAAAGUAAUUAAAUCAUGGGGGCAGUUACCUCUAUGCUGUUCUUGUGAUGGUGAGUGAGUUCUCAUGAGAGCUUAUUGUUUUAUAAGAGCCUUUCCCCCUGCUUUGCUCUGCACUUCUCCUUGCUGCCAUCAUGUGAAGAAGGACGUGUUUGUUUCCCCUUCCACCAUGAUUGUAAGUU
ensembl:lncRNA novel transcript